CUACGGGAUGCUGCAGUGGGGAAUAUUGCACAAUGGAGGAAACUCUGAUGCAGCAACGCCGCGUGGAGGAUGACACUUUUCGGAGCGUAAACUCCUUUUAUAUAGGAAGAAGAUGACGGUACUAUAUGAAUAAGCGCCGGCUAACUCCGUGCCAGCAGCCGCGGUAAUACGGAGGGCGCAAGCGUUACUCGGAAUCACUGGGCGUAAAGAGCGUGUAGGCGGAUUAAAAAAUCAGAAGUGAAAUCCUAUAGCUUAACUAUAGAACUGCUUCUGAAACUCUUAAUCUAGAAUAUGGGAGAGGUAGAUGGAAUUUCUGGUGUAGGGGUAAAAUCCGUAGAGAUCAGAAGGAAUACCGAUUGCGAAGGCGAUCUACUAGAACAUUAUUGACGCUGAGACGCGAAAGCGUGGGGAGCAAACAGGAUUAGAUACCCUCGUAGUC
rnacentral:rRNA from 1 species